AUUCCAUGCGCUGCAGGGCCUGGGUUUCCCUGGAGGAGUUGGAGGAGGUGGGUGGGGCAUGGGGAGGUGGAGAUGGGGGGGAAUCGGGUGGGCUGGAGGCUGGACGAGGGGAGGGAGGGGUAUCCUGGCGAGGCCCCAUCUUCUCAAAGGGCGUUUGUUUUUCCAGAUCCAGGCUUACGACCCAGAGCACUGGGUGUGGGCGCGAGAUCGUGCCACCUUUCCUAGAGCUCCAGGGACCAUGGAGGCCUGAGGUCAUCGGCCUGAGAGAAGGUACAUCUGCGUCCUCCGGGGUAAAGAAAGAAUAUUGGGGUCUAUUUCGGAAAUCCGAGGAAACAAUUGCUUGAUCCAGCUUCAAGCCUGGGCAACGUGGCAAAAUUCCCUCUCACCAAAAAUACAAAAAUUAGCUAGGCGAUGUGGGAGGCAUCUCUACUCCCAACUACUCAGGAGGCUGAGGCGGGAGGAUCGCUGGAGCCUGGGAGGUUGGGGCUGCAGGGAGCCCUGAUCCUGCCACAGCACUCCAGCCCAGGCGACAGAGUGAGACCCUGACUCAAAAAUAAUCACAAAUACCGAGUUUGGGGAGCUUCAUGAUGAUUGAUGCACUUGAGUUACCGAUUUGGGUUGAGGGUUCAGUGGAGUUUUGGUUUACAUCUUGUGCAGCUGACCACGUUGAGCAGAGCAUGAGACUUCAUCAUGAGGAGGUAGGAUGAUGGAUUAGGCUUCUGGACUCGUGGUUCGUGAUGUUGUCACAUUAGAAACGGAUCUAGCAUGGUUACAAGUUUAGCUCUGAAGUGACACAAAAGGCCCCAGCUGUGAUGAGGUCCAAAGCCACAUUCUCUGAGGGUGCCCUACUCCCUGGGCAGACCCACCCAAAGUCCUUGCUAUAAAGCAGAUCACUGGGACUGACCUUGGGUGUACUGAGUGAGUUUUGGAGUCAGGGUCACCAAAGUGCAAGUAUCACAGUUGAACACAAUGGUUCAGAAGCAGGGUAUAGAAUGAUAAAACUGCAUUUCCCAAUUGCUCUGAACUCUAGUUAGACUUGACGUGGGACGUGAAUAACCUUCCUGUCUAGAGAGCUGCCUCCCUGAAGUGUGACUUCUCUCUCUCACUUCCAGAACACCGGGCCCAGGGGAGAUGCGGAUUUUCAGCAAGAACUUUAUUCCAAUGCUAAUGGCAGACACCAGGAAGGAGGAGAGCAGCCAUUUGUGCAGAUCAUCUACAAGAACCUGGACUGUUCUAGAUGGAGCUGAAUACAGUGAUCACGUUGUCCUCUUAGGACCGGGGGGGGGGGGGGGUACUUCUAGGAAUCCAUAGAGAACAGUGAGAAACCAGGGGUGUUUCUGGUUCCACCCCUUCCUGAGGCACCACCUCCCUUUUGAUAUUGCUGAAUUCCAACCUCCCUGGGGCCGAACCUGGAGGUCCUGUUUCCUACAGACUUGGCUGCCGCAGUCCUGGAGCAUUUGAAGGCACACGGCAGACACUCAGAUUGGCACGGAAUUCUUUGUGAAAUAUGAGUGCCAUAGACCGUAACAGAUAGCUUCAUUCACACUAUGCAUUUUAUUGGUUUGUUUGGAAAAUGUGGGCCAUUGAAUUAAUAAUAGGUUUGUUUUAAAUAGUUUGGAAAUUGUUGUACUUUUGAAAACAUGCUGUUCCUGUAGAGUUUUUUGAUGAGAGUUAUAGCUGUUAUAUAUACAUAAAAAUAAUUUUCUUUUCAUUCUUAAGACAGAAUUCUUUUUAUCCUAAAUCUUUUAUCUUUAAAUUGUUUUCUGUAUUAUUAUAUGUACCUCUGAAGUGAGUACACUUUUUAUCUAUGAUACUUACAUAAUAAUCUCUUCUAUUUAUAGCUAUUGGUAGUUCCCCUAAGUUUUCAUCAUAGACAUUUUUAUUUGCUGUUUAGGUUUGUGACUGAAUUGUGAGAAUUCAAGUUGUGAUUUUUAACAUGUCUUAGAUAUAUAUACUAACAUGUCUAAUAUAUACUAUAUAUUUUAUUGGUUUAUUUUGAAAAAGAUGGGCAUAGAAUUAUUACUACAUUUAUUUUAAAUAUUUUGGAAAUACUGGUAUUUUCGAAUAGAAGCUGUUUCUAUAAAGUUGUGUGAUGGGUGUUAUAACUGUUAUACACACAUAAAUAUCAUUUUGUUUUCCUUUUUAAGAGAGGAUUCUUUUUAUCCUAAAUCGUUUACCUUUCAAUCUUUUUAUCUAUUAUUACAUGUGCUGCUGAAGGGAGCAUACUUUUUAAUCUGUGAUACUUGGUUAAUGUAUGUAUUACAUUUAUAGCUAUCGGUAGUUCCCCUAAAUUCUUGUAAAAAUAAAUUUUUAUUUGAUAUUUAGUGUACGUUUGAAAUGUGAGAAUUCAGAUGUAAUUUUUUACCUUGUAUUGGCAUGUUUGUAUGUUACUUUAAAGAGGAUGUGUGUUCUAAAGGAGGACAUGAGCUGUGUGUUUUCAAGAGAACAGUGCAGUGUGUCUCUUGGGGAAACGUAAUAAAGAUGAACUUUUCUCACCUUCACAGCAA